GCUUUCUGAACGGAGAGGUCUUUUGAAGGAAACUGCACAAGGAUCUGCAGCACUCUUCCCGUACACGCACAGAUGCACGUGCCUGCUCUUCUUGUAUGACUUCUAACUAUGCGUUUCUUUCCCCUGACUGACCAAUAACACCAGCGCAUUAGCUUAAUCUAUAUUAGAAAUUGCACAAAAGCCUCCCACGAGUGUACGGGACAUGAACAUGACCAGGUCAACAGCGAAAAAGACAAAGUUGCUUAAACUUCUCCUUCUUGUUUCUAGCCAUUUUUUCGUCACAAGUCAGUUGCUCUGCCGAAGACCCCGCUAUCGUGUCUGGCGCCCUCAACCAGGGAACAUCACCCUGAGAUUGUCCCUCAUGGAGAACACCUGCAGGAAUGUGAAUCAUUGCUGGAAUGGCAUCUCGGAACGGGCUCGGGCGCACUUGAUGGAUAAAUCAUAUGCGUUUCCGCAAUUGUGCCCUGUGGAGGUCCAGUUAGGAGACACUCUCUUGGCUUUUACUGACCCAAUGCUAGAGCAGUAUGGAAUAAACCUAGUUAAUGUGUCAAAAGAAGAAUUCGACAGUUGCUUCACAGAGCAAAAACAAAAGCAACACCUAUUUGCUGGCUAUAUGAACGGUAGCCUGCAGGUGGCCUCGAAGUGGCUUUCUCCUGGUGUUCAUUAUUUUGCCGCCACUCAUGAGGGCAGUAGACAUUUAUGUCAUCUUGGCCUCCGCUUUAGUGUGCUAGUCAAAGAGCAGCUCUGUCAGAACUCUCCAGGUCGCCACCUGUGUUCAGGAAAAGGUGUUUGCAGGGCGCAGACUGGACAGUUUGCAUAUGGCUGUCAGUGCCCCAAGCCCUACUCUGAACCGUAUUGCGAUGCUGUGGACAUGUGUUCUGGAGGUCCUUGCCAAAAUGGUGCAAACUGCCUAAGCAGUCAUGCUGCCCACCAAAGUCAGGCUUCUUACCAAUGCUUGUGCCCAUCACUGUUUACAGGUGUUAACUGCUCUAAAAUUCUUGGCCAAAACAACUGUAUCAGGCGAUGCAGAAAUGGGAUUUGUCUCCAAGUGUCACCAAACUCCUUUCAUUGCGAAUGCUUCGAUGGAUUCACAGGCACAUUCUGCUCAGAAAAGAAAAACCCCAUGAGCAAAAGCAAAGGCGAAAAAUGUGACGAGAAGUACAUUUGCAUGUGCCCUGAAGGCUCCACUGGUUACACUUGUGAAGUGAUGCUGGAACACAACUGCACAGCACUCGACUCUCUGAAAGAAGAUGAUGACAGCACUGUCAAAUGCGUGUGCAGCAAUGGAAGACUGUGUUUCGUCGACAGCAUCAGCAGUCACAGCUGCAUUUGUGCGCCAGGUUGGACACGUUUAAUAAACGUUAAUGACUGUACACAGCAUCGGUGUCAGAACGGGGCCACUUGUGUCAACAAAGUUGCCGGGUACAGUUGUCAGUGUGACCACGGAUACACUAGGGUUCACUGCGAGCUUGAUAUUUCCCUCCUUAUUAAACAACUACGCUCGGACAUACACAGCGUCUCUGAGGACCAGCAGCACUACAUCUGCUUCUGCCAGCCACGGUACACAGGAGUCUUCUGCGAGAUCAAGACAGAUGAAUGCAAGAGUUCCCCCUGUGCUAAUGGUGCCACCUGCAUGGAUAUUGUUGCCAGUUACUGGUGCCCCUGUGCUGCUGGAUUUGAAGAUAAGAACUGCUCUGCAGAGGUUGCUGACUGCACGUUUCUGAAGAAACCAGGUGAAAACAAUGCUGUUUGCUACAUCGAGAAUGGAGAUUUCUAUUGCAGGUGUCCACCAGGGUUAACUGGACGAUUUUGCGAGAUCGACAUCGACGACUGUGCGAGCGAGCCUUGCGGGGCGGUCAGCAUCUGUGAAGACGGCAUCGCCGCCUACCGCUGUUUCUGUGCACCUGGAUUUAUCGGUAAUUACUGUGAGAUUGAAGUAAACGAGUGUCUUAGUCAUCCUUGUCAAAACGGAGCCUCCUGCUUGGACAAACUCGACUCCUUCAGCUGCAUCUGUCCAGAUGGACUCUCAGGCACUUUAUGUGAAAUUGACAUCAACGAAUGCCUCUCGUCUCCGUGCCAGCAUGAAGGGACGUGUCUGGAUCUUACCAAUGGCUUUGUAUGCAUUUGCCCUCUUGGCUUCACGGGACCCAUGUGCGAGGUGGAUAUUGACGAGUGCAGCUCUUCUCCUUGCGAGAACGCUUGCCGAGACCAGCCUGAUAAUUACCAGUGCCAAUGUGUGGAUCCAUUUAAAGGGAUACACUGCGAGCUUCUGCCUUGUGAAGCAAGUAAUCCAUGUGAGAACGGAGCUAAGUGUGUGGAAGAAGCCGACUUGGAGCGCUUCCCUUUGGGAUUUCACUGUCACUGCCUCCGAGGCUUCACCGGCCCUCGCUGCGAGCUCAACGUUGACGAGUGCGACUCUAACCCUUGCGUCCACGGCUUCUGCUAUGACGUUGUGGAUGGGUAUUACUGCCUUUGUAACCCCGGUUACGCUGGAGUGAGGUGUGAGCAGGACAUCGACGACUGCCUUGGCAACGCAUGCGAGAACAACUCGACUUGUGUCGACUUCCAUCUGAGUUACCAGUGCGUCUGCGACCCAGGCUGGGAGGGUGAGCUUUGCCAGAUCGAGACGAAUGAGUGUGCGCCGAACCCUUGCAGAAAUAACGGCACCUGUACUGACCUGCUCAACUCCUACAGGUGCUUAUGCCCUCGUGGGUGGACUGGUCCGGAUUGUAUAGAGGCUGUAUGGGGUUGUGUCUCCUCUCCUUGCUUUAAUGGGGCCCUGUGUGUGGAAUCGGACGACCCCAUCGAGUUCUUCUGCACCUGCCCACCCUUCUUUACCGGCUCCCUCUGUGCGGUGCCCUACGACCCGUGUGACGUGAAGAACAACCCCUGCCUGAACAACUCCACCUGCCGAUCCACACCAGAUGGCUCAGCCGAGUGCCUCUGCCCUUCAGGGAUUGAGGGAUCUCACUGCGAUAUUGACACUGACGAGUGCGAGUCUAGCCCGUGCCGAAACCACGGCCAUUGUGUGGACAUGGUCAACAAUUACUACUGUAACUGUACGCCUGGGUUCUCGGGUCUGCACUGUGAGGAAGACAUCGACGAAUGUGCGUCCAACCCGUGCCAAAAUCGUGGCAUUUGUCAGGACUUAGUGCACAGCUUCCGAUGCUCCUGUCUGCCUGGAUACAGUGGGCCUGUGUGUAACCUGGUCACGAAGCCAUGUGAAGCCUCAUCUUGCCUCCAUGAUGGUGUGUGCAUCAACAAGCCCAGAGGUUUUGUGUGUGUGUGCAGGCCUGGAUACACCGGUACUUGGUGUGAGCUGAUUGUGGACAAGUGCGCCUCCAAUCCAUGCCAGAAUGGUGGCAGGUGUGUUGACGGUCCCGAUGGCUAUCAGUGCUUUUGUCCCGAUGGCUUCUCUGACUCUGACUGUGGGAACAACAUUGACGACUGUGCCUCAGACCCCUGUGUUCACGGCAGCUGUUCAGACGCCAUCGACGCAUAUGACUGUCGGUGUGAGAGUGGAUGGAGUGGCCCCAGAUGUGAUACUAAUGUGGAUGAGUGUGCAUCUCAGCCUUGUUUGAAUGCUGGAUCCUGCGUGGACCUCGUGGACGAAUACACCUGCAUAUGCACGAAGGGCUACAACGGGCCCCGUUGUGAGGUUGAUUUGGAUGCGUGUAUGGAUGCGCCCGUGAAUUCCUCGUACUGUUUUAACGGUGGAACUUGUCUGGAUGGCCCGGGAUACAGUUUUACAUGCAGAUGUCCAGCAGGUUUUGCUGGGGAUUUUUGCGAGUUGGAUGUGAACGAGUGUUGCUCAGAGCCUUGCUUCCACGCCGGCGUCUGCCAAGACCUCAUCAAUGGCUACCGGUGCCACUGCCGACCCGGUUGGACAGGCCUUCGCUGUGAGGAUGACAUUAAUGAGUGCCUGCCGCAGCCAUGCAACCAGGGGAUGUGCAUCCAGAACGAACCAGGCCAAGGCUACUCCUGUUUCUGUCAGCCUGGAUUUGUGGGCAGAAACUGUGAGUAUAAUUACGAUGACUGCUUGCUCUGGCCAUGUCCCGAUGGCUUCACCUGCGUGGACGGCGUCAACAGUGUGAGCUGCGUUGCCGUGGAGACAAAUGUGACCUCGUCGCCUGCUGUUUUCCUCACUCGCGCUGAACAAGCAGCAGAUAUCAGCUAUGGAAGAUAUUCUGGUGCAUCUUUCCUGGAGUUUGAGCACAUUCAUCUCAGUGCUGUGAGUAAUAUCACAGUGAGGUUUCAGACUCGCUCUGUGAACGGAACAAUCCUAUUCGUCGACCAGCCAUUUGGCUGCCUCUUUCUCAAGCUCUACCUCAACAAUGGAAUUUUACAGUAUGAUUUUUCCUGCAGCCAAAACGAAGGGAUUCAUAGCAUUAAUACCAAAGUACAGGUCAAUGAUGGCAAAGAGUAUUUGGUGCACAUAAGACAGUCUCUCGCUCCGUGUGAAGCCGAUGUCGCCGUGUCUGGCUUUCGACGUGCUCAAAGUAAUCCAAACAAUUACCGGCCAGGAGUUGCUUUGCAAACAACGGCCCGUGUUUUUGUCGGAGGUCUACCACUUAAUUACUCUACAAAAAAGGGAGCUGAGCCUCUAUACAACUACACUGGCUGUAUUGAAAUAAUUGAAAUUAAUAAGCACAAAGGAUUUCACACUUCCAGUGCCAUCGCUGGGAACAACACAGGCGACUGCAAGUCAUCCUGGCAACAGAACAGUCUGGCGGAUGCUGUUGUAACCUCUGAUGUAUUCGGUUCCCCCAGAGGAGCAGGCCACCUUAAACUUCUGCCAACCAUGGCCUCGUUGGCAUGCUCUGAAGAACCAUGUCUCAAUGGUGGCACGUGUCAUCGGUUGUCCAUGCCAAGUGGUGCUGCAUCCUUCUUCUGCAACUGCCCUCUAAAUUACACCGGUCGCCUGUGUGAAAAAGAAACCUCCAUACGCUCCCCUUUAUUUAGUGGCUCUUCAUACUUGGAGCUUCAGCCCUUGACGUCGCUGGACACAGGCUUCGAGAACACGUCUUCCAGACCCCCGCUUAGCAUUCAACUUACUGUGAAAGUGAAGGCCCUCGAUGGGAUUCUACUUUACACUGAGGAGCAAAAGUUUGGCGGUCGAUUUCUUCACGUCUUCCUCCAAGAUGGAUAUCCAGGUGCCAGAUUGGGCUGCAGUAGCAGUGAUGUUUUGGAAUCCCUUUCCAGUCAGAAAAUGGACAGAGACACUGUGGCAUCAGUAAUAGUGAGAUAUUGGUUGCCUGUCAGCCGAGAUGGAGGGUUAUGCGUGAUUGAAGUAGCUGCGACUAAUGGAACUGCUAAUCGAUCACAGAAAUAUGUAUCUGAACCCUCGUCUGAGAUUGUUUUUGGGCCCACUUUCCUGGGUGGUGUGCCAUCAACUUCCUUCCAUGGCAACACAGGCAAUGUCUCUGGUUUUGUGGGCUGCAUCCUAGAGCUUCGGGUCAACUCUAGAGAACUUCACGUAAUGGAAGACGCGCUUCGCGGACAAAACAUCCAAAACUGUGAUACAGCGGUGUGUCAACACCAACCGUGCCGAAAUGGAGGAACCUGCAUCAGUGAUACAGACACCUGGCUCUGCGUCUGUCCCCCACUCUUCUCAGGCAAGCUGUGUCAGUUCGCUACCUGUGAGCGCAACCCGUGUGCACACGGCGCCACCUGCAUCCCCAAGAGCCCUUUGGAGGCGGUGUGUCUUUGUCCGCAUGGCAGGCAAGGUCUUCUGUGCGAUCAGGCCAUACGAAUUACCCGGCCAAGAUUUAGCGGUCUCGAUGAGUUCGGGUUCCCGUCCUACAUGGCGUACCCACCUAUUUCCAGCAUGAGCUACUUCUAUGAGUUCCGGCUGAAACUGGUAUUUUCCAAUAACAGCACUGCCAUGAAGAAUAACCUUAUUCUCUUCUCUGGACAGAAAGGACAAGGUAUCACCGGGGACGACUUCUUUGCCUUGGGAGUGAGGAACAGACGAAUCAUCUAUAAGUUCAACCUCGGUUCAGGGGUGGCUUCCAUCAUCAGCGACCCUCUAAGCCAGAGGGCCCGGAUACACACUGUGCACUUUGGACGAUAUCUUAGAAAUGGAUGGAUGAAGGUUGAUGGCCAAAGGAACAAGACAGGGUCGAGUCCCGGUAAGCUGGCAGCUUUGACCACCUUUAGUCCGCUUUACAUGGGUGGCUACAGUGAACACGUCCCCGAGAUGCUGCCUUUAGGUGCCAGGUUCGAUAAUAGCUUUCAAGGUUGCAUUUACAAUGUGCAAUUCCGGACCAGAUACGAUGGCAAGUUCCACACGCUGACCAAUCUGGAAACGCCGCCUAUAGCCGCCCGCAGUGUGGGUCAGUGUGGGGUCUCUCCAUGUAGUCUGCUUACCUGUCAUAAUGGUGGCACCUGUAUCGACUCCGGAUCCUCUGUAUACUGCCAAUGCGGGUCUGAAUGGAAAGGCGCUCUGUGCUCUGAGAGAGUGUCCUUCUGUGAUUUGGAACACAUUCCACCUCCCUCGUGUGCCCGUGGUUCUACAUGUGUUAUGCUUCCUGAAGGCUACAGCUGUCAGUGUCCCCUGGGCACCAGCGGCAAGUUCUGCCAGGAAGCUUUGUCCAUCAGCGACCCAUUUUUUAAAGCUAACUGGUCCUCCUGGAUGGCUUUUCCCCUCAUACACAUAAGACAGAGAACACACAUCGUGCUGCAGUUCAAGACAAUUUCACUGGAGGGCAUCCUGUUCUACGCAGCACAGUAUGUGGGCACCCACGCCGGUGACUUCAUCAGUCUGUCUUUGUCUGGAGGAUUUGUACAGCUUCGCUACAAUCUUGGCGACACAACAAUUGUGCUACAGUCUACAAACAAAGUGGACCUCAUGGGUUGCACAUGGCAUACAGUGAAAGCUGGGAGAGAGGGAAACCAAGGCUAUCUGGUUCUGGAUGAGCAAAGCAUAAUUCGGAACACCUCUAAGGGCAUGACCUCUCUCGAUAUCUCCAGUGAAAUUUUCAUUGGUGGUGUGUCCAUGCUGAAUUUCGUGUCCCCUGACGCGGUGGAGGAAGAGCCGAUCGGCUUCAGCGGGAGCAUUCGCGAAGUCAUCGUUAAUGGUCACGAGCUUGAGCUCACUGAGAAAGGGGCUCUGCGAGGGGUGAACGUGAAGGAUUGGGACGGGACAAAGUGUGGCUACAAAGUAUGCAAGAACAAGGGUUACUGCCAAGCAGACAGCCACGAUUCGUUCGUCUGCCUUUGCCCUGCAGAGUGGACAGGCACAUAUUGUGAGCAGUCUAUUUAUUGCGAAGGCGCUACGUGCCAACAUGGUUCCAUCUGCAUUCCAAACAUUACAUCAGCCACAUAUUCCUGCACGUGUGGCCUCGGAUGGCAGGGAACACACUGCGAACAGCGAGUGUCCACGCAAACCAUUCACUUUGUUGGAAAUUCCUAUUUGAAAUACAAAGACCCAAAGUACAGCACGAGAGAUCUGACCCGCACACACUUUUCAUUUAAUCUUUCGGUGAGCUCAGGAGACGGGCUGAUUCUGUGGAUGGGCCUGGCAAAAAGUGAAAAUGAUGAUUAUCUUGCGGUAGGACUUCAGGAUGGUCAUCUCAAACUAGCCAUCAACCUUGGUGAGAGGAUUGCAGUGCCUCUCGUUUCCCGAAACACAACCCUGUGCUGUAAUGAAUGGAAAUACCUGUCUAUUACUCUUGAUCGUACGAUCAUCCAAGCUUAUGUCGAAGAAAAGAAGGUUAUUUUUGAGGACAUCGACCCGUUUGAGCACUACGUUUCCAUGAAUUAUGGAGCCGUUUAUUAUUUCGGAGGCUUCGAAAUGAGCAGAGAUGUAGGGUGGGUUACAUCCGGUCUCUUUACAACAGGGUUUGUAGGAAGUAUCAAAGAUGUUCUUUUGUAUCAGGACACAAGCAUGAUGCAGAUUCUGGAAAAGGCUGAGGGCUUUAAUGUUUUUCAAGUAGAUGAUUAGUAGGCACUGACCAGGCACUGGGGAAUGCUCGACGGGUCAGGACUGUUUUGGCAGCAAAAGGGGGAUCAACACAAUAUUAGUAGGCAGGUGCUCAUAAUAUUAUGCCUGAUCAGUGUAUAUACAAUCAAUUUAUAAUAUUAACAUAUGAUUAAUAGUAGCGCUUGUGGCAACCUGACCAUCACAACAAUUAGUGUUAUUCCAGAUUUAGUCUCAAUUUGCUGUUAAUACCCUCUGUUUUUCUGAUAAGGCUUUGCCCAAGAUUCUUUAAUGUGGCUAUGUUGGGAUUUGCCUAUUAUUGAGAUCAAGAAGUGAUUAUGUACCAGGAGGAUUGGGGGUGUCCUCCAAUCCAUCCCAAAAGGGUGGGGGUCAGAGCCGACCAUGUGCUGAACUCAAGUUGUGGUCUAAAGUCUUCAUGGACCUUGUCUUGUACCCAGUGAAACUCUCAUGCAGCCACAAGUUUGGGUUUCAGUCAUGGAAAUUGUAAUGCUACGGCAUACAUAGAUUUCCUACAAUUUCUAAGCUUCUAAUUUUGUGCAAACAGUUUUGUAAAAGCCCCAAAAAAUGGUGUGAUGGUCAGGUGUCCACGACAUGGUAGUGCAUGUAACAUUGGUAGAAAACAAAUGGAUCUGGUACAGUAGUGCAUUUUAAGCACCAACUUUUAAGCAUUAACUUUUAAUACUAGCAACCAAUAUAAUUUCUUUAAAGGUUGUAUGUAAAGAAUUUGUUUAGUUGCUAUUAGAAUGGUUUAUAUAUCUGUAUGUAUGUGUGUAAAUUUGUAUGUCGGACAACAAACAAUUUGUGUGUAUAUAUGAGUUACGAUGGUCCGACUUACAAUUUUUGGUUCUUAGCGAUACAGCAAAAUUGUAAAAAGAAUAUUUGAAGUUUCAUGCAGCAGGUACCGGCGUAUACUCACGAAUCCGGCGCCCAUCCACGUGCCCACUGCUACAUACAUACAGUGUUACUGUUUUGCUUAAUUAUUAACAAAUACCAGUGUACUAUAUAAUUAUCGCCAUUUUUUAAAACUCCUGCUUAUUCCAGGUCAUGGGGUCAUCAGAACACAUCUGCAUCGGAAGGUCUUGGAUAUUUGAGCAAGAUAAUGCGAACAGCAUACUGCAUCUAUCACAAGAGCAUGACUAUGUAGUAGAAGAGUCCGGGUGCUGAAUUGGCCUGCCAGCAGUCUAAACUUUUUCAACAUUUGAAAACAUUUGUCAUGAAACGAAAAAUUCAACAAAGGACCAAAACAUUAGCAUCUGAUCUCCACAGUUUCCAAAUGUAUACGGACAAAAGAUAAAGUGGACCUGUUGCAGCAAUCAAAUAAUUUUUUUUUAAAUGGUAUAUUUUAAGUUUAAUGUUAAGGAUAUGUUUUUUUGUUUUAUUGUAAAUAAAAUAUGGUUUUAUGA